rnacentral:misc_RNA from 1 species
GAUGAAGAACGUAGCGAAAUGCGAUACGUAAUGUGAAUUGCAGAAUUCAGUGAAUCAUCGAGUCUUUGAACGCACCUUGCGCCCUUUGGCCAUUCCGAAGGGCAUGCCUGUUUGAGUAUCAUGAACACCUCAACUCUUCAUGGUUUUCCAUGAUGAGCUUGGACUUUGGGGGUCUUGCUGGCCUGUGGGUCGGCUCCUCUCAAAUGAAUCAGCUUGCCGGUUUUUGGUGGGCAUCACAGGUGUGAUAACUAUCUACGCUUGUGGUUUUCCACCAGGGUAACCUUCAGCAGUGGAGGUUCACUGGAGCUUACAAAUGUCUCUCCUCUGUGAGGACAGCCCUUUGAAUGUUUGAUCUCAAAUCAGGUAGGACUACCCGCUGAACUUAAGCAUAUCAAUAAGCGGAGGA